AAUCAGGUACACAUAGCUUGUGAAUAGUAAUAGUUCAGAGUAGGUGGUGGCUUAGAAGAUCGUUGCAGCGGGUGGUUUCGUGGCGUUGAAGUAGAGCUGGUUACUGCUGCUGGCCUGACUUAAACUUGGUGGUUGUGCAAACAAUGGUUUGUUAGUUAUUAGUAUAAAAAUUAUAAGUAGAGAUAGUCCAGUUCUUGAAGGAGAAUUAUACAGUGAAAAGUACUUUUGGGGUAAGGGGGUUAAAGUUUGGUUUAUUUAGUUGUUGGUAAACUAUGUACAGU
rnacentral:misc_RNA from 1 species